CCUACGGGAGGCAGCAGUAGGGAAUAUUGCUCAAUGGGGGAAACCCUGAAGCAGCAACGCCGCGUGGAGGAUGAAGGUUUUCUGAUUUUAAACUCCUUUUGGUAGGGAAGAUAAUGACGGUAUCUAACGAAUAAGCACCGGCUAACUCCGUGCCAGCAGCCGCGGUAAUAAGGAGGGUGCAAGCGUUACUCGGAAUCACUGGGCGUAAAGAGCGCGUAGGCGGGAUAGCAAGUCAGAUGUGAAAUCCUAUGGCUUAACCAUAGAACUGCAUUUGAAACUGUUAUUCUAGAGUAUGGGAGAGGUAGGUGGAAUUCUUGGUGUAGGGGUAAAAUCCGUAGAGAUCAAGAGGAAUACUCAUUGCGAAGGCGACCUGCUAGAACAUAACUGACGCUAAUGCGCGAAAGCGUGGGGAGCAAACAGGAUUAGAUACCCUGGUAGUC
rnacentral:rRNA from 1 species